rnacentral:rRNA from 1 species
GGUCAAGCUACUAAGGGCGUACGGUGAAUGCCUUGGCGCCAGGAGUCGAUGAAGGACGUGGUAAGCUGCGAUAAGCUUCGGUGAGCCGCAAACAGGCUUUGACCCGGAGAUUUCCGAAUGGGGCAACCCACCUUGGGUAAUACCGAGGUAUCCCCGACUGAAUUCAUAGGUCGGUGGAAGGCAACGUGGGGAAGUGAACCAUCUCAGUACCCACAGGAGAAGAAAACAACAGUGAUUCCGCUAGUAGCGGCGAGCGAACGCGGAAGAGCCCAAACCCUCAUGCUUGCAUGGGGGGGUUGAAGGGUCUGUCAGGCCGCAAGGCCGGCGAGUUACCAACCAACAUUAUAGUCGAACGAUUUGGAAAAGUCGGUCAGAGAGGGUUAAAACCCCGUAGACGAAAUGAUGUUGGCUUGCUGGACAGAUACCUGAGUAGCGCGGGACACGUGGAAUCCCGUGUGAAUCUACGAGGACCAUCUCGUAAGGCUAAAUACUCCCUGGCGACCGAUAGUGAACCAGUACCGUGAGGGAAAGGUGAAAAGAACCCCUGUGAGGGGAGCGAAAUAGUACCUGAAACCGUAUGCCUACAAGCAGUGGGAGGGCUAUGCCGGAUUCGUCCGGAAUGCCUGACCGCGUGCCUUUUGCAUAAUGAGCCGGCUAGUUA